UCGAGAAUCAUUCGCAAUGGGCGAAAGCCUGACGAUGCGACGCCGUGUGAGCGAUGAAGGCCUUAGGGUCGUAAAGCUCUUUCGCCUGGGAACAAGAGAGUAGCGCUAAUAUCGCUAUGAUUUGAGGGUACCAGGAAAAGAAGCACCGGCUAACUCCGUGCCAGCAGCUGCGGUAAUACGGAGGGUGCAAGCAUUAAUCGGAUUUAUUGGGCGUAAAGGGCGCGUAGGCGGAAAGGGAAGUCAGAUGUGAAAUCCUGGGGCUCAACCUCAGAACAGCAUAUGAAACUCCCAUUCUAAGAGGGUAGGCGGAGAAAAUGGAAUUCCACAAGUAGCGGUGAAAUGCGUAGAUAUGUGGAAGAACACCAGUGGCGAAGGCGGUUUUCUAGCUUAUUCCUGACGCUGAGGCGCGAAAGCAAGGGGAUCAAACAG
rnacentral:rRNA from 1 species